AAAUUGAAGAGUUUGAUCAUGGCUCAGAUUGAACGCUGGCGGCAGGCCUAACACAUGCAAGUCGAACGGUAACAGGAAGCAGCUUGCUGCUUCGCUGACGAGUGGCGGACGGGUGAGUAAUGUCUGGGAAACUGCCUGAUGGAGGGGGAUAACUACUGGAAACGGUGGCUAAUACCGCAUAAUGUCGCAAGACCAAAGAGGGGGACCUUCGGGCCUCUUGCCAUCAGAUGUGCCCAGAUGGGAUUAGCUUGUUGGUGAGGUAACGGCUCACCAAGGCGACGAUCCCUAGCUGGUCUGAGAGGAUGACCAGCCACACUGGAACUGAGACACGGUCCAGACUCCUACGGGAGGCAGCAGUGGGGAAUAUUGCACAAUGGGCGCAAGCCUGAUGCAGCCAUGCCGCGUGUAUGAAGAAGGCCUUCGGGUUGUAAAGUACUUUCAGCGGGGAGGAAGGUGUUGUGGUUAAUAACCGCAGCAAUUGACGUUACCCGCAGAAGAAGCACCGGCU
rnacentral:rRNA from 1 species